AUUGAACGCUGGCGGCAUGGCUAAAACAUGCAAGUCGAACGAUCCCUUCGGGGAGAGUGGCGAAAGGGCGAGGAAUAGAAUCGAAUGUACCCCAAGGUGGGGAUAGCCUCUGGAAACGGAGGGUAAUACCCCAUGUGCUCUAUGGAGGAAAGGUUUACCGCCUUGGGAGCAGCGAUUCUCCUAUCAGGUAGUUGGUGAGGUAACGGCUCACCAAGCCGAAGACGGGUAGCGGGUGUGAGAGCAUGACCCGCCGCAUCGGGACUGAGACACUGCCCGGACUCCUACGGGAGGCUGCAGUAACGAAUCUUCCGCAAUGGGCGAAAGCCUGACGGAGCAAUGCCGCGUGUGGGAUGAAGCAUCUUCGAUGUGUAAACCACUGUCAGGGUCUAGGAAUACUGACCAGACCCAAAGGAAGGGCCGGCUAAUUCCGUAG
rnacentral:rRNA from 1 species